CUCUACUGUGGCUCCUGAGCACACACGGCAGGCUGGUACUCUACUGUGGUUCCUGAGGAUACCGUGGCAGGCUGGUACUCUACUGUGGCUCCUGAGCACACACUGCAGGCUGGUACUCUACUCUGGCUCCUGAGGAUACAGUGGCAGGCUGGUACUCUACUGUGGCUCCUGAGCAUACACUGCAGGCUGGUACUUUACUGUGGUUCCUGAGCAAGCAAUGGUAUUCUGGUACUCUACUGUGGUUCCUGAGGAUACAGUGGCAGGCUGGUACUCUACUGUAGUUCCUGAGCAAGCAAUGGCUGGCUAGUACUUUACUAUGGUUCCUGAGCACACACUGGCAGACUGGUACUCUACUGUGGCUUCUGAGCACACACUGCAGGCUAGUAAUCUACUGUGGCUCCUGAGCAUACACUGCAGGGUGGUACUUUACUGUGGUUCCUGAGCAAGCAAUGGCAUUCUGGUAUUCUACUGUGGCUCCUGAGGAUAUAGUGGCAGGCUAGUACUUUACUGUGGUUCCAGAGGAUACAGUGGCAGGCUGGUACCCUACUGUACCAGAGAGAUAGGUGACCGCGUGCGGGACACUUCCCUAAAGUGGCCCCCGGACAGAGAGAUAGGUGACCGCGUGCGGGACACUCCCCUAAAGCGGCCCCCGGACAGAGAGGUAGGCGACCGCGUGCGGGACACUCCCCUAAAGCGGCCGCCGGACAGAGAGAUAGGUGACCGUGUGCGGGACACUCCCCUAAAGUGGCCCCCGGACAGAGAGAUAGGUGACCGUGUGCGGGACACUUCCCUAAAGCGGCCCCCGGACAGAGAG